CAUAAAUUCUUAUUGAAAUAAAUUGAACUGAAUUGAAUGGAACUAAAUUGAAUCUAAUUAGUGGCUAUUCUCAGAAUUUUCCACACACGGGAAUUAGUAUAGAAUUAGAACCUGUCACUCUAAUUCAUUAGUGUAUUCCCUAAAUACAUAUGCUUACUCCAUGACCUUCAGGGAGCAGAAAUGUAAUGGCGGCACAGAUACUCCUUCCAUUCCUGGGCAGAAACGAAAGAAAAUAGAUGCCUCCUCCACCAUUUUGUAUCCGCAGUCCUGCCUUCUGAAGUUUCCUCAUCUAUAAAAAUGAGCUGGAAAAGGAAAUGGAAAACCACUCCAGAAUCUCUGCCAAGAAAAUCUCCAAAUGGAGUCAUGAAGAGUUGGACAGAGCUGAAACAACUGAACAACAACAAAUAAAUUGUCAAUGAAUGGAAAUGGUUAGUCA
rnacentral:lncRNA from 1 species